rnacentral:lncRNA from 1 species
GCGGUGGCCACCACUGUGCGCGGAGAUGGCUGCGACGCGUGCGCAGAUCUCGAUCCCAAACUCCCUCCUGCCAGAAUCUGGACCCGAAUCCACCCAUUGCUCAUUUUCCGCUGCCACUGGAGAGAAUCUCUGAGGUCCCCAGGAGAGCCUGCCUGCACGGAAGAGAUGCCUCCUCAGGAAAUUUGUGCACAGAGAUAACACAGGGGAUAUGCCAUAUGAAUAUGAAGGCAGAAUUCUACAAGCCCAGGAAUGCCAAAGAUUGCCAGCAAACCACCAGAAGCUAGGAGAGAAGUGUGGAUUAGAUUCUUUCUCACAACCCUCAGAAGGAACCAGCCCUGCCAAGAACUUGAUCUCAGACUUCUAGUCUCCAGAACUGUGAGACAGUGCAUUUUGUUUUGUAAGUCAGCCACAUGGUUUGUGGCACUUUGUUAUGGCAGCCCUAGGAGAUGAAGACAAUAUGCAACAUGGUAUGUCCAUUAUAGGACACUGUGGGCCAUAAAUGUGUUCUUUGGCCUGAAGAAAUAAAACUUGGUGGUCCAAGUUGAUGUCUUA